rnacentral:rRNA from 1 species
UACGUAGGUGGCGAGCGUUGUCCGGAUUUACUGGGCGUAAAGAGCGCGCAGGCGGCUGGCCAAGUCCGAUGUGAAAGCUCCCGGCUUAACUGGGAAACUGCAUCGGAAACUGGUCGGCUUGAAGGUGGGAGAGGGUAGCGGAAUUCCCGGUGUAGUGGUGAAAUGCGUAGAUAUCGGGAGGAACACCAGUGGCGAAGGCGACUUCCUGGCCUGUUCUUGACGCUGAGGCGCGAAAGCUAGGGUAGCAAACGGG